rnacentral:rRNA from 1 species
GACGAACGCUGGCGGCGUGCUUAACACAUGCAAGUCGAACAGAAAGGCCCUGCUUUUGUGGGGUGCUCGAGUGGCGAACUGGUGAGUAACACGUGAGUAACCUGCCCUUGACUUUGGGAUAACUUCCGGAAACUGGGGCUAAUACCGGAUAGGAGCUCCUGCUGCAUGGUGGGGGUUGGAAAGUUUCGGCGGUUGGGGAUGGACUCGCGGCUUAUCAGCUUGUUGGUGGGGUAGUGGCUUACCAAGGCUUUGACGGGUAGCCGGCCUGAGAGGGUGACCGGCCACAUUGGGACUGAGAUACGGCCCAGACUCCUACGGGAGGCAGCAGUGGGGAAUAUUGCACAAUGGGCGGAAGCCUGAUGCAGCAACGCCGCGUGCGGGAUGACGGCCUUCGGGUUGUAAACCGCUUUCGCCUGUGACGAAGCGUGAGUGACGGUAAUGGGUAAAGAAGCACCGGCUAACUACGUGCCAGCAGCCGCGGUAAUAC